UACGGAGGAUCCAAGCGUUAUCCGGAUUUAUUGGGUUUAAAGGGUGCGUAGGCGGCUUUUUAAGUCAGGGGUGAAAGACGGUAGCUCAACUAUCGCAGUGCCCUUGAUACUGAAGAGCUUGAAUACACUAGAGGUAGGCGGAAUGUGACAAGUAGCGGUGAAAUGCAUAGAUAUGUCACAGAACACCAAUUGCGAAGGCAGCUUACUAUGGUGUCAUUGACGCUGAGGCACGAAAGCGUGGGGAGCGAACAGG
rnacentral:rRNA from 1 species